GACGAACGCUGGCGGCGUGCUUAACACAUGCAAGUCGAACGGAAAGGCCCUGCUUUUGUGGGGUGCUCGAGUGGCGAACGGGUGAGUAACACGUGAGUAACCUGCCCUUGACUUUGGGAUAACUUCAGGAAACUGGGGCUAAUACCGGAUAGGAGCUCCUGCUGAAUGGUGUGGGUUGGAAAGUUUCGGCGGUUGGGGAUGGACUCGCGGGUUAUCAGCUUGUUGGUGGGGUAGUGGCUUACCAAGGCUUUGACGGGUAGCCGGCCUGAGAGGGUGACCGGCCACAUUGGGACUGAGAUACGGCCCAGACUCCUACGGGAGGCAGCAGUGGGGAAUAUUGCACAAUGGGCGGAAGCCUGAUGCAGCAACGCCGCGUGCGGGAUGACGGCCUUCGGGUUGUAAACCGCUUUCGCCUGUGACGAAGCGUGAGUGACGGUAAUGGGUAAAGAAGCACCGGCUAACUACGUG
rnacentral:rRNA from 1 species